UACAGGGGGGGCAAGCGUUGUUCGGAAUUACUGGGCGUAAAGGGUUUGUAGGUGGCUUGCUCAGUCAGACGUGAAAUCCCUCAGCUUAACUGGGGAACUGCGUCUGAUACUGGUUGGCUUGAGUGCAGGAGAGGAAUGCGGAAUUCCACGUGUAGCGGUGAAAUGCGUAGAGAUGUGGAGGAACACCAGUGGCGAAGGCGGCUUUCUGGUCUGUAACUGACGCUGAGGCGCGAAAGCGUGGGGAGCAAACAGG
rnacentral:rRNA from 1 species